rnacentral:rRNA from 1 species
AGGGUUCGAUUAUGGCUCAGGACGAACGCUGGCGGCAUGCCUAACACAUGCAAGUCGAACGAGAAAGUCACUUCGGUGGUGAUUAAAGUGGCGCACGGGUGAGUAACGCGUAGACAAUCUGCCCUUCAGUCUGGGACAACUUUUCGAAAGGAGAGCUAAUACCGGAUAACAAUGUUUGACAUAAGUUAAAUAUUUGAAAGCUUUAUGUGCUGAAGGAGGAGUCUGCGUCCCAUUAGCUAGUUGGUGAGGUAAAGGCUUACCAAGGCAACGAUGGGUAGCGGGUUUGAGAGGACGAUCCGUCACACUGGAACUGAGACACGGUCCAGACUCCUACGGGAGGCAGCAGUGGGGAAUAUUGCACAAUGGAGGAAACUCUGAUGCAGCAAUGUCGCGUGAGUGAAGAAGGCCCUUGGGUCGUAAAGCUCUUUUAUGGGGGAAGAUGAUGACGGUACCCCAGGAAUAAGCACCGGCUAACUACGUGCCAGCCGCCGCGGUAAUUC